rnacentral:rRNA from 1 species
UGACUGUGCAAAGGUAGCAUAAUCAAUUGACUUAUAAUUGAAGUCUGGAAUGAAGGAAUAUUCGGGGAAUAACUGUCUUUUAGGUAUUUUAUAAAAUUUGUUUAACAAGUGCAAAUACUUGUAUACUUUAAUUAGACGAGAAGACCCUAGAAACUUAAUUAAAUUUUGUUGGGGCGACAAAACUACAGUUAACUAGUUUUUUUGAACGUGAAGAAAAUCGGUAAGAUAAAGUUACUCUAGGGAUAACAGCAUAAUUUAAUAAAGUUUGUGACCUCGAUGUUGGACUAGGUACAGUUUUUUUUAGACAAAAAAAUUGUCUGCUCUGUUCGAGCAAAUACACCUACAUGA